rnacentral:sRNA from 1 species
CUGUGUUUAUCCCCAGAGCAGGUACCAUACAGGCAGCGUCUGGGCACGCUUCCCCCACACGCUGCCCUACCCACGUACCUCAACCAUGGGCUAGCAGGAGCACCUGUGAGGUGCGUGACAG